rnacentral:ncRNA from 17 species
UAUAUUUGCGGCAGAUUUGGUUUCCGGCUCCUUAUGCAAGGAGAGGAAUGAAAAGGGAAUCGGGUGUGAAUCCCGGACAGUCCCGCUGCUGUGAAGCUCCGCGACGUUUCGAACAUCUCUGCCACUGGUCCGCACGGACCGGGAAGGCUUCGGAACAGGAGUGAGUCAGAAGACCUGCCAGAUCGAUUCGAUGUCAA